UUGCACCCCCAUAGUGUUACGAGUGAGUUCCUAGAAAGCCGUAGGGUCAGACUCUCAAUGUACUGCAACACUCUUGCUGGGGUAUGAAAACAUAUCUGACUUUUCAGAAUGAUCAUGCUGUGUUCAAAUAUGGUUAAAAGCAAAGUCUGUCCACAUGGAGGGGCACAGGCCUGAAGGCAAUGGAACUGCACAUAGGUAGAGAGCCACUCAGAAUCCCAGUAGUUUGCAAGUUCAGGGUGGCAGUGUUUAGCUGGAUGUGGGGAGGAGGAAGGAACAAUACAUAAACAGAUGGAGACUUUCCAGCCUGAAAAAGCUGUGGUAUGUCUCACAGUUGUUUAUUAGCAUAAGCAAAUUGAUUCCUAAAUAUUGAUGGAUGUCCAUACAAUGUAUAUAUCCACACUUGCCCAACCUUUUAGGUCUCUGCUUUGGCUGUAGAAUAAUUGAAGGAUCUGUAAGCUCAAAAUGCUAUACCCUCCACCCCUCUCCACUUUCCUUGGAUAUUCACAUACAGGAGGAAGAAACUCUUUGUGUUGCUGAAAACCUGACACUCCUCUCACUCCCAUGGAUGCUGCCAGGAGAGUGAGAACAGCCAACUGCUGGAGCUCAGCAAAGUGCUCCAGUGCAAUCUGACCCUCUAGAUCCAUUCAGACCCACAGACUGAAGCCUGGAGACGGUGACACCAGCAGUGUUACUCCCUAGGGGAUGAGCAUCCCUUAUUGAAGGAGACCUCUCUCCUUGCUGUAGGAAAAUGAACUGCACAAAUGAGAGCAUGUGAUUGUGCUCCUGAAUGGGGUAAUAUGUACCCUGCUGGCCUCACAGGAUCCUCAUCUGCAUUUCGUGCGCUCCUUUCAGGUGCUGAUUGGCUGCAUUGCCUGUUAUCUGGUGGUGCCUGCCUCAAUCAAGGCUGGAAAGAUUCUGGGCUGUGGGAAAAAAUUGGGAAGGGGGUGGGAAGGGACAUAUGGAUGGGCUUUAUACCAACCUGGGUGAGGUGGAGACACAGACUCUGGAAACUGGAUGCUGCCGCUGCCCCAGGAAACCUGACCAAAGAGAAGGGAAGAAAAGGGAUUGCAGAUACUAUAACAUAGGAGAGCGUUCUUCUGUGUGCUGAGGCUGAUCAGCUUUCUGUGCAAUCAGCUGCAACGAGGUGCAGGAGGUGGAGAUAAAUCUGAAAGCUAUCCAAAGCUGUAAUGUCAUGAACCAGGAAGAAGUAAUGAUUUACCAAGCUCUUUAUGCAAAUCCCUAAGAGUGGCUGGAGCUAGAGGACUCCUACAAAGACUGGAAAAGACCUGAAAAUAAACCUGUGAAGCACUUCAUCUGGCAGAUGAGGACCAAUGGAAAAGUGUGGGCAGUUACUCAGAGGUCUAAACAAAACCCAAAUAAAAUGACUGCUUUCAUGAA